AUUGUACUCCCUCCGUCGGAAAAUACUCGUCGGAGAAAUGAAUGUAUCUAGACAUAUUUUAGUUCUAGAUGCCUCCAUUUUUAUCCAUUUCUCCGAUGAGUAUUUCCGGACGGAGGGAGUACUAC
rfam:Triticum aestivum genome assembly, contig: Triticum_aestivum_CS42_TGACv1_scaffold_129568_2BL